rnacentral:rRNA from 1 species
CCUACGGGAGGCAGCAGUAGGGAAUCUUCCACAAUGGGCGAAAGCCUGAUGGAGCAACGCCGCGUGAGUGAUGAAGGCCUUCGGGUUGUAAAACUCUGUCAUUCGGGACGAACCGGAGUCUGAGGAAAUGCAGACUCUCUGACGGUACCGGAGGAGGAAGCCCCGGCUAACUACGUGCCAGCAGCCGCGGUAAUACGUAGGGGGCAAGCGUUGUCCGGAUUCACUGGGCGUAAAGCGCGCGCAGGCGGUGAUGUAAGUCUGAGGUGAAAACCCGAAGCUCAACUUCGGGACUGCCUUGGAUACUGCGUCACUUGAGGAUAGGAGAGGCAAGGGGAAUUCCACGUGUAGCGGUGAAAUGCGUAGAGAUGUGGAGGAACACCUGUGGCGAAGGCGCCUUGCUGGCCUAUUCUGACGCUGAGGCGCGAAAGCGUGGGGAGCAAACAGGAUUAGAUACCCUGGUAGUCCACGCUGUAAACGAUGAGUGCUAGGUGUAGGUGGGCUCAUACCCAUCUGUGCCGAAGCUAACGCAUUAAGCACUCCGCCUGGGGAGUACGGUCGCAAGACUGAAACUUAAAUGAAUUGACGG